GGACUUAGUUAUCGGUGGGGGCGUGGUGUUUUGGUCCGCUCUAAAGAGGAUUGAUGUCCUUGAGCCGCCUCGGGUCUGCCGGCGUAUGAACUUGAGUCGAGGGGAGGAGGAGGGCCUAAGCGGUUAGACUCUGGCUGAGUUGGAGGAGACAUGAGUCCAGGGAGGACGGAGAGCGAAGAUGUGCACAGAUUCCAUAAUACCUGUCCCGUCAGCCAGCAUGUGAUUGCUUUAGAGAUUAGAAAACGGCUUUGGAAUGAUGAAGAUGAGCCCUGCGACUUUUGCUCCAACUAGCGAGAAAGAAGUGCUGGGACCCCACCAGGAGAGUCGAGCUGUAGGAACUUGGAAUGGUGCCUCCACCUCUGCCCACAGACACAACAGUGGUCUGAAAAGUAAGCUUAGCUAUCUUCAAAUAUCCUCCGUUCAUUUCUUCCCUAGACUUAGAAUAUUUAGCUGUACACCUGCCUGCUCCUCUAAAGAGGUAUCUCCCAUUUCCUUUGCCCCCAGAUGGUAGAGUUCUACAGAGUGUUGGCAUCUGGGAAGAACAAGGAAGUGACGUGUGCCAUUUUGGGCUGCCACACUUAAAAGAGGUCCAAUCCCUUUUUCUGCCUCCCGUCCCUUCCAUGGUGCACGGCUGUAGAAGUGGUAGGGAAUCAGGUUACGACACUGCCACUGGGGCCACGUAGCCAGACACACGUUAGAAAGCUCAUCCAGGAAUGGUGUGUGUGACAGUAACCCCGCCACCUGAGAGGAGAGGACAGGAAGAUCGGGAGUUCAGUGCCAGCCUGGGCUACAUGAGACCCUGUCUUGAGAGAAGGAGGAAGACCGGAGAGAUAGAUUAGUGGUUAAGAGCGCUGCGAAUAGGAAUGCCCCUAUAAUUAUAUAGAUUCGAACGCUUGGUCACGGGCAGUGGCACCGUUAGGAGGUGUGACCUUGUUGGAGGAAGUGUGUCACUGAGGGUGGGCUUUGAGGGUUCAAAUGUUCAAGCCAGGGUCCGUGGCUCACCCUCUCUCCCUGCCGCCUGCCAAUCCAGACGUAGGGCUCUCAGCUCCUUCUCCAGCACCGUGUCUGCCUGCACUCGGCCACGCUCCCCACCGUGAUGAUAAUGGACUGUAAGCCAGGCCCAAUUAAAUGUUUUCUGUAGGGAGAGAUCUUAUUAGGUACCUGUGGCGCCGACCACGCCCAUUUUGGGCGUGGCCACAGGUGCAUUUGUGGUGGGACUUAGACCUGAAGAUAGGCAGGCCACUCUCUCUUGGGGUUCCGGUCAGGUCUCAGAGCUGAUACGGCAUCCUCUGAGCUAUCGUUUCUCAUGUAAGUGAUUUUUCUCUUCAAUAAAAUUAACUUACUUCGCCCCA